CACCCAGACUCCUACGGGAGGCAGCAGUGGGGAAUAUUGCACAAUGGGGGAAACCCUGAUGCAGCAACGCCGCGUGAGUGAAGAAGUAUUUCGGUAUGUAAAGCUCUAUCAGCAGGGAAGAAGAAAGACGGUACCUGACUAAGAAGCCCCGGCUAACUACGUGCCAGCAGCCGCGGUAAUACGUAGGGGGCAAGCGUUAUCCGGAUUUACUGGGUGUAAAGGGAGCGUAGACGGCUGUGCAAGUCUGAAGUGAAAGCCCGUGGCUCAACCGCGGGACUGCAUUUGGAACUGCGUGGCUUGAGUGUCGGAGAGGCAGGCGGAAUUCCUAGUGUAGCGGUGAAAUGCGUAGAUAUUAGGAGGAACACCAGUGGCGAAGGCGGCCUGCUGGACCGUGACUGACGUUGAGGCUCGAGAGCGUGGGGAGCAAACAGGAUUAGAUACCCGGGUAAG
rnacentral:rRNA from 1 species